GUUUAAGCCGCCGCGGUAAUACGUAGGUGGCAAGCGUUGUCCGGAUUUAUUGGGUUUAAAGGGUGCGUAGGCGGCCCUGUAAGUCAGUGCUGAAAUAUCCCGGCUUAACCGGGAGGGUGGCAUUGAUACUGCGGGGCUUGAGUACAGAUGAAGUCGGCGGAAUUGACGGUGUAGCGGUGAAAUGCAUAGAUAUCGUCAAGAACACCGAUAGCGAAGGCAGCUGACUAAGUUGUAACUGACGCUGAGGCACGAAAGUGUGGGGAUCAAACAGGAUUAGAAACCCCAGUAGUCC
rnacentral:rRNA from 1 species